GUUGGCUACUACCAAGGCACAAAGAGGAUGUUUUCUACUUUUUUUUUUCUACUUUUAAACCUAAGCAACAACAAUACACAAAACUGAAAACAAGCCAGGAAACCUGCACCCAACAACAACAACAAAAAAAUGAAAGCCAGAAAACAGAACCAGACAUCAUUAGGAAACUGAUCCAUGAAAGUUCUAAUCUCAUUUACUAAAUAAGGCUUCUAUUAUAUUUUAUUUCUAGAACUAGGACAGUUUGGCAUAUUCUAGACACACGAUGGGCAGUUGUUGCGCAGAGAGAAAAUGUUUGCAUUUUUAUUGCCUUAACAAUAGCAGCUGCACUGGGCAUUGCAGCACAGAGCUAUAAACUGAGCACUCUGAAGGUGGAGGCAGGAGGAUUAAGAAUUCAGGCCAGCCUUAGUUGCAUAACAAGUUCCAGGCUAGCUUGAGCUACACAAAACCCCAUCUAAAAAUAAUAUAAUAGUAUAACAUAGAAAUAAGUGUCAUAUAAAUGUAAUGAAAUAAAUAUGUUCAUUUAUUUAUAUUAAAUAUAAUACAAAUAAAAUAAUGGUAAUAUUAAUAACUGCCAAUGUUUAUUAAUCAUCUAUACAGAGUACCAGGCAGUAUGUUCAACACUCUGCCUGUUACCUCACUUUAUUCUAACACCAAAACCAUGGCGUUUUUAUUGUUACAGAUAAGGAAAAACCAAUGUUCAGUGACUCAUCACAGUAACAAUGUUGCCCACAGGGCUAUGCUGUCUUAUUCCAGACCCUCUGUUCUUACACUAAGCUGCCACUUCAAGGGAGGGCUUCUUCCCUUGAACUGUGAAAGAGGCCGGAUUGUUUCAGAUCCUGGCCUUUUUAGUAGAUAGAGCAGUUAUCUUCAGGCAGACCUUUAGCCAAGAUAUGGGUCCAGAAGAGCUGUCUGUUUCAAUUGUUUACUCAAGUCCCAG
rnacentral:lncRNA from 1 species